rnacentral:rRNA from 1 species
AACUUCAGGAAACUGGGGCUAAUACCGGAUAGGAGCUCCUGCUGCAUGGUGGGGGUUGGAAAGUUUCGGCGGUUGGGGAUGGACUCGCGGCUUAUCAGCUUGUUGGUGGGGUAGUGGCUUACCAAGGCUUUGACGGGUAGCCGGCCUGAGAGGGUGACCGGCCACAUUGGGACUGAGAUACGGCCCAG